AUUAACGAGGUAGGGCCUCCUUCGGGAGCCCGAACUCCCCACCCUUUGCUGUUGCGAACAAGUUGCUUCGGCGGGACCCCCCUCCCUUCAAACCGGGGGGGGACCGGGCCUCUGCGCCCGGGCAGCGCCCGCCGGGGGACACAACCAACUCUUUUGUUAAAACAAUGCAGUCGGAGUACAAUCGUACAAUAAGUUAAAACUUUCAACAACGGAUCUCUUGGUUCUGGCAUCGAUGAAGAACGCAGCGAAAUGCGAUAAGUAAUGUGAAUUGCAGAAUUCAGUGAAUCAUCGAAUCUUUGAACGCACAUUGCGCCCCUUGGUAUUCCGAGGGGCAUGCCUGUUCGAGCGUCAUUUCACCAAUCAAGCCCCGCUUGGUAUUAGGCGUCUAGGCCGGACCCCCGUGUCCGGCCCGCCCGAAAUGCAUCGGCGAGGCACCGACCCCCGGCGUGUUAGAAUUUCGAAACGUCAGGAGCACCGGUAACCCUCCGCCGUCAAACCUUUAUAUUUUCUCAAGGUUGACCUCGGAUCAGGUAGGAAUACCCGCUGAACUUAAGCAUAUCAAUAAGCGGAGGAAAAGAAACCAACAGGGAUUGCCUCAGUAACGGCGAGUGAAGCGGCAACAGCUCAAAUUUGAAAUCUGGCGUCUUCGGCGUCCGAGUUGUAAUUUGUAGAGGAUGCUAUUAGGUUGCCACCGGUCUAAGUUCCUUGGAACAGGACGUCACAGAGGGUGAGAAUCCCGUAUGUGACCGGCCAGGCGCCUUUUGUAUAGCUCCUUCGACGAGUCGGGUUGUUUGGGAAUGCAGCCCUAAAUGGGAGGUAAAUUUCUUCUAAAGCUAAAUACCGGCCAGAGACCGAUAGCGCACAAGUAGAGUGAUCGAAAGAUGAAAAGCACUUUGGAAAGAGAGUUAAAAAGCACGUGAAAUUGUUGAAAGGGAAGCGCUUGCAAUCAGUCUCGACGGCGGCUGUUCGGCCUCUCUUCUGAGUGGUUUACUCAGCCGCCGCCGGGCCAGCAUCAGUUUUGGCGGCCGGAUAAAGGCGUGGGGAAUGUAGCUCCCUCGGGAGUGUUAUAGCCCCGCGUGCAAUACGGCCCGCCGGGAC
rnacentral:misc_RNA from 1 species